rnacentral:rRNA from 1 species
UACGUAGGGUGCAAGCGUUAAUCGGAAUUACUGGGCGUAAAGCGUGCGCAGGCGGUUUUGUAAGACUGUCGUGAAAUCCCCGGGCUCAACCUGGGAAUGGCGAUGGUGACUGCAAGGCUAGAGUUUGGCAGAGGGGGGUAGAAUUCCACGUGUAGCAGUGAAAUGCGUAGAUAUGUGGAGGAACACCGAUGGCGAAGGCAAUCCCCUGGACCUGUACUGACGCUCAUGCACGAAAGCGUGGGGAGCAAACAGG